rnacentral:rRNA from 1 species
CCUACGGGUGGCAGCAGUGAGGAAUAUUGGUCAAUGGCCGGGAGGCUGAACCAGCCAAGUCGCGUGAGGGAAGACGGCCCUACGGGUUGUAAACCUCUUUUGUCAGGGAGCAAGGUGCAGGUCGGGACCUGCUGUGAGAGUACCUGAAGAAAAAGCAUCGGCUAACUCCGUGCCAGCAGCCGCGGUAAUACGGAGGAUGCGAGCGUUAUCCGGAUUUAUUGGGUUUAAAGGGUGCGCAGGCGGAGGCACAAGUCAGCGGUAAAAUCGCGGGGCUCAACCCCGCUCCGCCGUUGAAACUGUUUCCCUUGAGUAUCGGAGAGGUCAUCGGAAUUCCUAGUGUAGCGGUGAAAUGCGUAGAUAUUAGGAAGAACACCAGUGGCGAAGGCGGAUGACUGGACGACAACUGACGGUGAGGCGCGAAAGCGUGGGGAGCAAACAGGAUUAGAUACCCUUGUAGUC